rnacentral:rRNA from 1 species
GAUGAACGUUGGCGGUGCGCUUUAUGCAUGCAAGUCGUACGGGACUGUAGUUUUCGGAUUACGGUUCAGUGGCGAACGGCUGAGUAACACGUAGGUAACUUACCCGCGAGCGGGGGAUAACUUACCGAAAGGUAGGCUAAUACCGCAUGGUAUGGAUCUGUCAAAGCAGGUUCCUUAAAGCCGUAAGGCACUCGCGGAUAGGCCUGCGGCCGAUUAGCUAGUUGGCGGGGUAAUAGCCCACCAAGGCUGUGAUCGGUAGCUGGUCUGAGAGGAUGUCCAGCCAGAUGGGGACUGAGACACGGCCCCAACUCCUACGGGAGGCAGCAGCAAGGAAUAUUGGGCAAUGGGCGAAAGCCUGACCCAGCAACGCCGCGUGAAGGAGAAGGUUUUCGGAUCGUAAACUUCUAUCCUUGGUGAAGAUAAUGACGGUAGCCAAGAAGGAAGCCCCGGCUAACUACGUG